rnacentral:sRNA from 1 species
CUGAAGUUCUCUUUAAAACUCCUGUGCUGCCAGACAAUGGCUACAACUUUGGCAGAGGCAGUGCUAAGUUUUUCAGUGUGGCCCUGUGCCAGAGUGAGUCAAUCUUGACCCCUUGCAGGAUGAUUAGCAGAGAGGGGGUAGUUAAACCUUUAUACCCAUUCAUUCCUAGGUUUCU